rnacentral:rRNA from 1 species
CACAUGCAAGUCGAACGGUAACAGGAACCCUUUUGCUGCUUUGCUGACGAGUGGCGGACGGGUGAGUAAUGUCUGGGAAACUGCCUGAUGGAGGGGGAUAACUACUGGAAACGGUAGCUAAUACCGCAUAACGCCGCAAGACCAAAGAGGGGGACCUUAGGGCCUCUUGCCAUCGGAUGUGCCCAGAUGGGAUUAGCUAGUAGGUGGGGUAACGGCUCACCUAGGCGACGAUCCCUAGCUGGUCUGAGAGGAUGACCAGCCACACUGGAACUGAGACACGGUCCAGACUCCUACGGGAGGCAGCAGUGGGGAAUAUUGCACAAUGGGCGCAAGCCUGAUGCAGCCAUGCCGCGUGUAUGAAGAAGGCCUUCGGGUUGUAAAGUACUUUCAGCGGGGAGGAAGGGAGUAAAGUUAAUACCUUUGCUCAUUGACGUUACCCGCAGAAGAAGCACCGGCUAACUCCGUGCCAGCAGCCGCGGUAAUACGGAGGGUGCAAGCGUUAAUCGGAAUUACUGGGCGUAAAGCGCACGCAGGCGGUUUGUUAAGUCAGAUGUGAAAUCCCCGGGCUCAACCUGGGAACUGCAUCUGAUACUGGCAAGCUUGAGUCUCGUAGAGGGGGGUAGAAUUCCAGGUGUAGCGGUGAAAUGCGUAGAGAUCUGGAGGAAUACCGGUGGCGAAAGCGGCCCCC